GACGAACGCUGGCGGCGUGCUUAACACAUGCAAGUCGAACGGAAAGGCCCCUUUGGGGGUACUCGAGUGGCGAACGGGUGAGUAACACGUGAGUAACCUGCCCUUGACUUCGGGAUAACUUCAGGAAACUGGGGCUAAUACCGGAUAGGAAUCCUUGCUGCAUGGUGGGGGUUGGAAAGCUUCGGCGGCUUUGGAUGGACUCGCGGCUUAUCAGCUUGUUGGUGGGGUAGUGGCUUACCAAGGCUUUGACGGGUAGCCGGCCUGAGAGGGCGACCGGCCACAUUGGGACUGAGAUACGGCCCAGACUCCUACGGGAGGCAGCAGGGGGGAAUAUUGCACAAUGGGCGGAAGCCUGAUGCAGCAACGCCGCGUGCGGGAUGACGGCCUUCGGGUUGUAAACCGCUUUCAGCAGGGGCGAAGCUUGUGGUGACGGUACCUGCAGAAGAAGCACCGGCUAACUACGUG
rnacentral:rRNA from 1 species